UACGUAGGGGCCUAGCGUUGUCCGGAUUUAUUGGGCGUAAAGAGCUCGUAGGCGGUUCGGUAAGUCAGGUGUGAAAUCUCCACGCUCAACGUGGAGGCGUCACCUGAAACUGCCGUGACUCGAGUCCGGUAGGGGAGUGUGGAAUUCCUGGUGUAGCGGUGAAAUGCGCAGAUAUCAGGAGGAACACCAGUGGCGAAGGCGGCACUCUGGGCCGGUACUGACGCUGAGGAGCGAAAGCGUGGGGAGCGAACAGG
rnacentral:rRNA from 1 species